rnacentral:lncRNA from 1 species
CUAAGACAUUUUUCCUUUUCAUAUUUGAACUUUUCUGAAAUCAAGGUAUAUCUUCAAGUGAUGCCCCUUCAUAAAUACUUAGCAGUACUUUCUCAAGUCUGUAUGAAAGCACUGUGGGUCCUACACGUCAAAGACAAGCUUUCUAGUCCGCAAACUGCAGUGGCUCUCAUUGGCCCAAGCACAUCACGUGUCUCUCACCCGCCAAUCACUGCAACUCUGGUUGGGAAGCCAUAGGCUCAUCUCUGGUGUUAACUGGUUGGAGUCAGCAUCACCUAAGCAAAAGGAGCGACAGAGGAAUGGCAGUUUCUGAGAGGAAAAUCAGAGUGUCACUGCCCCCCGGAGAGAUGGCUGUGGAUUCCCGGCAGGCAGAAACAACUGCUGCCUCCUCUGCUCAGAGUCAUUCCGGAAUUCGGUCAAGUUGGCCAUGUCAGAGAAAGCCUCAGAAGGUGGUCAUUUUGCCAUUGACUUUAACAGCUAGACUGACACUCAUUCCCCGCGGUAGCUGGUGUGUGCUGAACCUGUCACCGCCUCUUCAAAACAUUGCUGGUUUCCAUGGAAACAAAAAAGCACUUACUGAAAGAGCUGCUGGAAAUUUCGAGUCAAGAUGUCCAAAACUGUCCCUGUGAUAUAUUUUUCUAAGACCUGAUUUGAAAGAGAAACAAUAGCGCAACUUGGCAAAGAAGACAAAGGAAGAUAAAUGAUAAUUAAAAACGGCUUGGCACCAUGUCUAGAUCCCAACAUCCGGUCGCGAUGCUGUCCUUUUCAAAAUCAGGUCCAGGGAGAUAUUGGGUGAAGAAGCACCACUGACCCACAGGCCCCUGACUUCAGACAUGGCUUUGUUAUGGACACGAGCCUAUCUGCUGUUCACAGGGUUUAAAUCUUGACAGGCUUAUGCAGCAACAUGACUCUGAAUACACUUGCUAAAUGAACCUCUUGCAUGCCAAUCUACCUCCUACUCUCUGAGCUAAAAAAGAGCUCUGCAACUCGGAUGAUUAUAUACCUAUUUUUUCAAUCCACUCUGUAAGGCGGGAACGUGAAAUGAAAGAUAAUAGCUUCCUUUAACCGUUGUUAGAUUGGCAUACCAGAAGGUGAGAUUUUCUUUUAAACUCCUCAUGAAGAUAUUUAAUUAAAUUUUUUUUGUUGGCCACCCUGUGGCUUAUGGAGUUCCCCGACCAGGGAUCGAA